GAUGAAGAACGUAGCGAAAUGCGAUAAGUAAUGUGAAUUGCAGAAUUCAGUGAAUCAUCGAAUCUUUGAACGCACAUUGCGCCCUUUGGCAUUCCGAAGGGCACACCUGUCCGAGCGCCGUCGCACAACUGAGGCGCAGCCUUGCGUUGGCGGGCGACUUGUGAGUAGCGAGUCGCCGCCCAAACGAGACGGCGCCGCGCCGCGGCCGACGAAGCACGAAAGCGGAAGUCGACGCGGAGGCGGUUGCCUGUAGGAAGACACAGCUUGGCCUCGGAUCAGGUGGGGAUACCCGCUGAACUUAAGCAUAUCAAUAAGCGGAGG
rnacentral:misc_RNA from 1 species